UAAUACGGAGGGUGCGAGCGUUAUCCGGAAUCACUGGGUUUAAAGGGUGCGUAGGCGGCCUGGUAAGUCAGGGGUGAAAGCUUCCCGCUCAACGGGAGGACUGCCCUUGAUACUGUCAGGCUCGAAUUGGGUUGAGGCGGGCGGAAUGUGGCAUGUAGCGGUGAAAUGCUUAGAUAUGCCAUAGAACACCGAUUGCGAAGGCAGCCCGCCAAGCCUUGAUUGACGCUGAGGCACGAAAGCGUGGGGAGCGAACAGGAUUAGAUACCCUGGUAGUCCACGCCCUAAACGAUGCUUACUCGACGUCCGGCCCCUGCGGCCGUGCGUCCAAGCGAAAGCGUUAAGUAAGCCACCUGGGGAGUACGCCGGCAACGGUG
rnacentral:rRNA from 1 species